GCCUCAGACUCCUACGGGAGGCAGCAGUGGGGAAUAUUGGGCAAUGGACGCAAGCCUGACCCAGCAACGCCGCGUGAAGGAAGAAGGCUUUCGGGUUGUAAACUUCUUUUCUGAGGGACGAUAGUGACGGUACCUCAGGAAUAAGCCACGGCUAACUACGUGCCAGCAGCCGCGGUAAUACGGAGGAUGCGAGCGUUAUCCGGAUUUAUUGGGUUUAAAGGGUGCGCAGGCGGCACGGCAAGCCGGCGGUCAAAUCGCGGGGCUCAACCCCGCCCAGCCGUCGGAACUGCCGGGCUAGAGUGGGCGAGAAGUGCGCGGAAUGCGUGGUGUAGCGGUGAAAUGCAUAGAUAUCACGCAGAACUCCGAUUGCGAAGGCAGCGCACCGGCGCCCUACUGACGCUCAGGCACGAAAGCGUGGGUAUCGAACAGGAUUAGAUACCCCAGUAAA
rnacentral:rRNA from 1 species